AUGCAACGCGAAGAACCUUACCUGGUCUUGACAUCCCGGAGACCCUUAGGAAACUAGGGGUGCUUCCAUCUGGAAGAAUCUGGAGACAGGUGCUGCAUGGCUGUCGUCAGCUCGUGUCGUGAGAUGUUGGGUUAAGUCCCGCAACGAGCGCAACCCUUGCCUUUAGUUGCCAGCAGUUCGGCUGGGCACUCUAAAGGGACUGCCGGUGUUAAACCGGAGGAAGGUGGGGAUGACGUCAAGCCCUCAUGGCCUUUAUGACCAGGGCUACACACGUACUACAAUGGCCGAUACAAAGGGCAGCGACACUGCGAGGUGAAGCCAAUCCCGUAAAAUCGGUCUCAGUCCGGAUUGGAGUCUGCAACUCGACUCCAUGAAGUUGGAAUCGCUAGUAAUCGUGGAUCAGCAUGCCACGGUGAAUACGUUCCCGGGCCUU
rnacentral:rRNA from 1 species